rnacentral:tRNA from 1 species
GCCGGGGUGCCCGAGCGGUCUAAGGGGGUAGGCUCGAGACCUACUGUCCCGUGUGGGGCGCGCGGGUUCGAAUCCCGCCCCCGGCG